rnacentral:rRNA from 1 species
AAUCAACGCUGGCGGCGUGCCUCAGACAUGCAAGUCGAACGAUUAAAGCUCUCUUCGGAGAGUGUAUAGAGUGGCGCACGGGUGAGUAACGCGUGGAUAAUCUGCCCUUAAGUGUGGAAUAACGUACCGAAAGGUGCGCUAAUACCGCAUAAUGCCUGGCAACAUAAGUUGUCCGGCCAAAGAAGGCCUCUGCUUGCAAGCUUUCGCUAAAGGAUGAGUCCGCGUACCAUUAGCUAGUUGGUGGGGUAACGGCCUACCAAGGCGACGAUGGUUAGCUGGUCUGAGAGGAUGAUCAGCCAACUGGAACUGAGACACGGUCCAGACUCCUAGGGAGCAGCAGUGAGGAAUAUUGCGCAAUGGGGGCAACCCUGACGCAGCAACGCCGCGUGAGUGAGGAAGGUUUUCGGACUGUAAAGCUCUGUCGAGCGGGAAGAAGUGUACCAUGGCUAAUAUCCAUGAUAUUUGACGUACCG